rnacentral:lncRNA from 1 species
UAUUAGUCAAAAUCAAACAUCAUACUCAACAAUAGAAAAAAUUAAAUAAAUCAUGAAAUGCUAAAAUUUUCGUAUCAUGCUUCACGAAGUCAUUUCAACUUCCAUCUCUGAGGGCAGAUGCAGAUUUUUGACUAUCCAUGUAGAAUGACUAGAUCAUAUAGAAAUAACGGUAAUUUGCUCAUGCAUAAUUUUGGCUUGCUAAACCAUGGUACGAUCUAUGACUACGGUCGAACCGACCAUAGUGGUCCUAUCAGAUAUUCUAUAGCCGCGACAGUACUUAGCCAAAAGUGAUCCCUAACAAAUUUUGCGUAACCACUCUCGUCAGAGGGUAAAUCAUCAACCAUAGGGAGCAGUCCUCUCAUGUCUUUCUAAACCAGAUGGAGG